GCGACCGCAGCUCAAUUGGCAAGGGCGCCGGAGUACCAUUCUGGAGGUCGCGGGUUCAAAUCCCACCGGCCUUC
rnacentral:tRNA from 1 species